rnacentral:rRNA from 1 species
CCUACGGGAGGCAGCAGUGAGGCAUAUUGGUCAAUGGACGAGAGUCUGAACCAGCCAAGUAGCGUGAAGGAUGACUGCCCUACGGGUUGUAAACUUCUUUUAUAUAGGAAUAAAAUGUUCCACGUGUGCGUUUUUGUAUGUACUAUAUGAAUAAGGAUCGGCUAACUCCGUGCCAGCAGCCGCGGUAAUACGGAGGAUCCGAGCGUUAUCCGGAUUUAUUGGGUUUAAAGGGAGCGUAGAUGGAUUGUUAAGUCAGUUGUGAAAGUUUGCGGCUCAACCGUAAAAUUGCAGUUGAUACUGGCAGUCUUGAGUACAGUAGAGGUAGGCGGAAUUCGUGGUGUAGCGGUGAAAUGCUUAGAUAUCACGAAGAACUCCGAUUGCGAAGGCAGCUCACUGGACUGCAACUGACACUGAGGCUCGAAAGUGUGGGUAUCAAACAGGAUUAGAUACCCUGGUAGUC